rnacentral:rRNA from 1 species
CGGGAAGAGCUCAAAUUUAAAAUCUGGCGGGUUAACCGUCCGAGUUGUAGUCUAGAGAAGUAUCAUCUACGCUGGACCAUGUACAAGUCUCUUGGAACAGAGCGUCAUAGAGGGUGAGAAUCCCGUCCUUGACAUGGACUCCCAGUGUUCUGUGUUGUGCUCUC